rnacentral:rRNA from 1 species
GGUUAAGCGAAUAAGCGUACACGGUGGAUGCCCUGGCAGUCAGAGGCGAUGAAGGACGUGCUAAUCUGCGAAAAGCGUCGGUAAGGUGAUAUGAACCGUUACAGCCGGCGAUGUCCGAAUGGGGAAACCCAGUGUGAUCCGUCACACUAUCAUUAACUGAAUCCAUAGGUUAAUGAGGCGAACCGGGGGAACUGAAACAUCUAAGUACCCCGAGGAAAAGAAAUCAACCGAGAUUCCCCCAGUAGCGGCGAGCGAACGGGGAGGAGCCCAGAGUCUGAAUCAGCGCAGGCGUCAGUGGAACGGUCUGGAAAGACCGGCGAUACAGGGUGACAGCCCCGUACACGAAGAUGCAUGCGCUGUGAGCUCGAUGAGUAGGGCGGGACACGUGUUAUCCUGUCUGAAUAGGGGGGGACCAUCCUCCAAGGCUAAAUACUCCUGACUGACCGAUAGUGAACCAGUACCGUGAGGGAAAGGCGAAAAGAACCCCGGCGAGGGGAGUGAAAAAGAACCUGAAACCGUGUACGUACAAGCAGUGGGAGCCCCACCACUAAGCCAGUGGUGAAACCAUAUCUGCAUCCUUUGCUGAUGGCGUGGUUAACGGAGCGCAAGCGACGUGUAACCCCGAAAGAAGCAGAGGGGGCNUCCUUUGCUGAUGGCGCGGUUAACGGAGCGCAAGCGACGUUUAACCCCGAAAGAAGCAGAGGGGGUUUAGUGGUGGGGUGACUGCGUACCUUUUGUAUAAUGGGUCAGCGACUUAUAUUCUGUAGCAAGGUUAACCGAAUAGGGGAGCCGAAGGGAAACCGAGUCUUAACCGGGCGCUCAGUUGCAGGGUAUAGACCCGAAACCCGGUGAUCUAGCCAUGGGCAGGUUGAAGGUUGGGUAACACUAACUGGAGGACCGAACCGACUAAUGUUGAAAAAUUAGCGGAUGACCUGUGGCUGGGGGUGAAAGGCCAAUCAAACCGGGAGAUAGCUGGUUCUCCCCGAAAGCUAUUUAGGUAGCGCCUCGUGAACUCAUCUUCGGGGGUAGAGCACUGUUUCGGCCAGGGGGCCAUCCCGGCUUACCAAUCCGAUGCAAACUGCGAAUACCGAAGAAUGUAAUCACGGGAGACACACGGCGGGUGCUAACGUCCGUCGUGAAGAGGGAAACAACCCAGACCGCCAGCUAAGGUCCCAAAGUCAUGGUUAAGUGGGAAACGAUGUGGGAAGGCCCAGACAGCCAGGAUGUUGGCUUAGAAGCAGCCAUCAUUUAAAGAAAGCGUAAUAGCUCACUGGUCGAGUCGGCCUGCGCGGAAGAUGUAACGGGGCUAAACCAUGCACCGAAGCUGCGGCAGCGGACGUGANCGAGUCGGCCUGCGCGGAAGAUGUAACGGGGCUAAACCAUGCACCGAAGCUGCGGCAGCGGACGUAUCACUUAAAGCGAUUCAGCGACUGACGAUUGACGGAGCGAAGCGACGUCAGAGCGUAUACAAAGUCGAGUCGGUUUAAGGAUACGUCCGUUGGGUAGGGGAGCGUUCUGUAAGCCGUUGAAGGUGUGCUGUGAGGCAUGCUGGAGGUAUCAGAAGUGCGAAUGCUGACAUAAGUAACGAUAAGAGGAGUGAAAAACUCCUCCGCCGGAAGACCAAGGGUUCCUGUCCAACGUUAAUCGGGGCAGGGUGAGUCGACCCCUAAGGCGAGGCCGAAAGGCGUAGUCGAUGGGAAACGGGUUAAUAUUCCCGUACUCGGUGUUACUGCGAUGGGGGGACGGAGAAGGCUAUGUCAUCCGGGCGACGGUCGUCCCGGUUUAAGCGUGUAGGUGGAAUGGCCAGGUAAAUCCGGUCAUUCAUAACACUGAGGCGUGACGACGAGGCACCACGGUGCUGAAGUGACAGAUGCCCUGCUUCCAGGAAAAGCCUCUAAGCUUCAGGUAACAACGAAUCGUACCCGAAACCGACACAGGUGGUCAGGUAGAGAAUACCAAGGCGCUUGAGAGAACCCGGGUGAAGGAACUAGGCAAAAUGGUGCCGUAACUUCGGGAGAAGGCACGCUGAUGCGUAGGUGAAGCCCCUGCGGGCGGAGCCGAAGUCAGUCGAAGAUACCAGCUGGCUGCAACUGUUUAUUAAAAACACAGCACUGUGCAAACACGAAAGUGGACGUAUACGGUGUGACGCCUGCCCGGUGCCGGAAGGUUAAUUGAUGGGGUUAUGGGUAACCAGAAGCUCCUGAUCGAAGCCCCGGUAAACGGCGGCCGUAACUAUAACGGUCCUAAGGUAGCGAAAUUCCUUGUCGGGUAAGUUCCGACCUGCACGAAUGGCGUAAUGAUGGCCAGGCUGUCUCCACCCGGGACUCAGUGAAAUUGAACUCGCUGUGAAGAUGCAGUGUACCCGCGGCAAGACGGAAAGACCCCGUGAACCUUUACUAUAGCUUGACACUGAACACUGGUCCUUGAUGUGUAGGAUAGGUGGGAGGCUUUGAAGCGUGGACGCCAGUACACGUGGAGCCGUCCUUGAAAUACCACCCUUUAAUGGCUGGUGUUCUAACCCAGACCCGUAAUCCGGGUCGGGGACAGUGUCUGGUGGGUAGUUUGACUGGGGCGGUCUCCUCCCAAAGAGUAACGGAGGAGCACGAAGGUUGGCUAAUCCUGGUCGGACAUCAGGAGGUUAGUGCAAUGGCAUAAGCCAGCUUGACUGCGAGCGUGACGGCGCGAGCAGGUGCGAAAGCAGGUCAUAGUGAUCCGGUGGUUCUGAAUGGAAGGGCCAUCGCUCAACGGAUAAAAGGUACUCCGGGGAUAACAGGCUGAUACCGCCCAAGAGUUCAUAUCGACGGCGGUGUUUGGCACCUCGAUGUCGGCUCAUCACAUCCUGGGGCUGAAGUAGGUCCCAAGGGUAUGGCUGUUCGCCAUUUAAAGUGGUACGCGAGCUGGGUUUAGAACGUCGUGAGACAGUUCGGUCCCUAUCUGCCGUGGGCGCUGGAGAACUGAGGGGGGCUGCUCCUAGUACGAGAGGACCGGAGUGGACGCAUCACUGGUGUUCGGGUUGUCAUGCCAAUGGCACUGCCCGGUAGCUACAUGCGGAAGAGAUAAGUGCUGAAAGCAUCUAAGCACGAAACUUGCCCCGAGAUGAGUUCUCCCUGAGGCUUUGAGUCUCCUGAAGGGACGUUGAAGACGACGACGUUGAUAGGCCGGGUGUGUAAGCGCAGCGAUGCGUUGAGCUAACCGGUACUAAUGACCCGUGAGGCUUAACCUU